UCAGAGAAGAGGAGAUUACAGAAAGUGGGGCAAAGCAGAAAACAUAUUUCAAAACGGAAAAAAAGUGACCCCUGCUUAAUACGAAGCUGGGAAGAGUUUGUGCUUCCUGUUCGAGAUAGAGGCAGCGCGUGCUGUUAGCGGGAUCCACUAAAGAGCCAGCAUGGCCAGGCGUUAAAAAUGGCACCGUUAUAUUCCCACGGCGACAGCGGCUAAUAGCAGCCGCAGCAAUUGGCAGGAGGCGGCAGGUCAUGCAGCCGGCUCCCUGCCACGGCGCCGCAUUAUUGCAUUAUAAAUUAUUGCAGCGCUCAGAUGAGUUCACUAUGUGCAAAGUUAUCAUCUGCACAAUGGCUCCGUGAGAAGUGGGGCUCGCUUGGGAUGCUCGUCGGCUAUCUGAGGGAUUAUUGCACGAGUGCUGAGCUUUCCGGAUAGCUUUCCUCUCAACUCCCAAUUACAAGAAUUACAUUGGGGUGCCUUAAUUAGCCUGGUUCUCUUCCUCCGGAGCACCUGCAUGCACAGUUGAGAUCAUCAGCAUGGCACCGCACGCUUACAUCGGCUCCGGGGGUAACGGUCGUGACGUUGAUAAGCAUUAACGUUCUCUUCUGCAGUAAAACACACUGGAGGAGGUCAUCAGAUUCGAGUUCACUCCAACGCAGCUGGAGAAGUGCCCACAAACGAUGUGCGCCAACAGGCUGGACACCCAUGACCUUUCUAUCCAUUUCAGCCCCUAUCCACACGGAUGCGGUUAAAGGUCAGGUGACUGUGCAGGCCAAUGUCAUCACUCCAACUUUUCCAUAUCUUUCUUAAGCUUAAAAUAUACAGUGUAGAAAUCAAAUAAUGAGGAAAAAGUACUGCACUGACUUGUGUCAGUGCUGCACUAUGCAGCAAACAUGGCUACAAACAUACAGCAACUAGUUAGCGACUCUGACGUAUUUUCAUUAACGUGUUUACUAGCAUGUUCCUGCAAAGCCUAGCGGGCUGACAAAGCUUUGGCGGCCGAUGGUGUGAGUCCAUGCAUGCACAAGAGUGAUUCUAGGGCAAUUACACUAUAUUAUUAGCAUGCUGUUGUUAUUGACAAAACGCCUGACGAUGAUCGAGUUCACCUGCCGAUGAACGAGUGCCAUCGUGUUGGCUCCCUUUGUGUCUAAACAGACCGCAACCUCAAAUUGAAGCUCCUGAAAAUAACUUUAAACGUGAGGCUAGAAUAGCAUGACUCUUUUUUUUCUGCCUCAGAGAUAAAAUAAAAUAUUUAUUCUGUACGGACAUGGUGGCCUAAGGGUUAGCUCCAGGGGUGGGUGUUUGGAUCCUACACCCAUCUACGUGUGUGGAGUUUGCAUGUUACUCUCCACGCCCCCUGAGGCGAUUCUAGGAUUUUUUUUAAGGUGGGGUAAGAGGGACAUAAAAGGAGCCAUAUUUCAUACAGAGGGGCUAACCGUAUCACCAGCCAAUGAAAUGUUUUGAAUUGGUGAGUAACAGGGGAGGAGGCACUCUGGGGGCCAGUCACAUUUCAGCUGAAGCCAGUGCCCCUGCGGCCCUGGCCCUAUAUGUGCUGCUGCAGGUUAAACAGAUUUCCUCCCAUCACUCCCACAGUCUAAAAUCAUGCGACUAAGAAAACUCUAAAUUGCCCUCAGUGUGUUAUUCUGUGAGUGAGUUCCCUGUGCUGAACUGGCAUCCGUCCAGGGUGUAGCCCUGUGAUACCUGGGAUAGACUCCAGGCUCAGUGAAACCCUGUGCUUGAGAUGGCUAUUGUGGAACAUGGUGGGGUCUCUAUCCCAUGCUCUCUGGGAAGGUCAGGGAAGCAGAAGUUAGCUUCGCUUUGCGUUGCACUUACCUAACUUCAUUAUACUAACAUCUGCUUUGCAUAAAUGACACAGUUGCUUGGAGCUCAAUGUCAUGAAAUCGAGGGCCCCUGGGUCGAUUUUUAUAUACAGCCAUGGAAAAAAUUAAGAGACCACUCUAUGUUUUUAAACAAAUCUGCAUUUUUAGAUCAUGGUUUAAUUGAAGGCUAUGCAGCAAGAUGCUUUCAGGUUCAAAAUUUCUAAGACAGCAGGACACAAAAAUGAGGUGAAGCAGAGGAAACUGGAAAUGACCAGAAACCAGCCAGGUAAAAGGCAGAAGCGACAUUCUAAUGCCAGAGUUCGAAGGAUGACAUCAAGUCACCUUCAAAAGGAAUGGGAAACAUUAAGUACAGGUGUGAAGUGCACUGCUAGGACAGUUUGUAUCAGGCUCCUAGAAGCAGGACUGAGGUCCCAUAAAGCAAGGAAGAAGCCCUUCAUUAAUGAGAAGCAGGGAAGAACCAGACUGCAGUUUGCAGAAAAAUAUAUUUUACUCACAGACGCACACCCAUCAAUUGAGAAAUGAGUGAAACAAAAAACUAUGCUGUGGUCUCUUAAUUUUUUCCGUGGCUUUGUGUGUGUACAUGUGUGUGUACAUGUGUGUGUACAUGUGUGUAUAUAUACACAUUCAUUGAGAUACAACCAUUACAUUACUGAGGUCAAGGUUGAGAAAUGAUAAUCCCCAAGCAGUACGUGGGUAUGACAAACAUGAAUGACUUGAAUUCAGGCUCAAGGUCAAUUCCAGCUACAAGAAACGGCUCGGAGAAUCAUGAAAAACACACCUUUACAAUAAAGACUUUGGGAAUAGCAACACAGUAAAACAUUAGCGUCGCUGUACGAACACCGGCGUAUGCAGCUUGUUUGAUCAAUGGGGUUAGCAAUUGCUGCAGACUAUUACAAUUGUACGUGCUUUGUAUCGACACGUUUGGCAUCAAUCGCGCUCACAAAGGGUGCGGCAUUGAGCUUGCGCGUCCCGCUCAGUCGACGGAUGAUGGAAGAAAAAAACCUUUAUCUGCUCACAUUUGGAGAUAUCAUCGGGAAUAUUUCACGCAGCUUUUAAUUCCAACCAGAUGCAGCCCCAUAGUGUUGGUAUCUCUUUGUCGGGAGAUGCAUUCAUCUGUGAGACAUUUGCUCACUGUUGCAGCAGUAUAAGCCAAAUUAAAAUGCCGUGGUGGUGAUUAUGUAACUGCCAGGGUAUGACAGUUGAUCUGGACAUCCUUUGUAAGCCCUCUCUGGCUGACAUCGAGUCGGGACCGAGGGGUAGAAUGUUGGCGUCUUGUCUUGUUUGGCCUACCUGCCGGAACACUUUCCUCCCCUUGUGUAACUAAUGAACAGGGAACCCCGCGUAAAGCUGCAUGCAUUCCAACAACCAACUCAAAUUUCACUGCAUCAGAUUGAUAGCCAGGCAUUGACAUUAGCAGUACUCUCCCCAACACUGAAAAUUCAAUAAAGUAUGCCUCAUAAAUUUUUCGGGGCAGUAAGAACAAGAGGUGAAAGAAUCCUCAAGUGGAUCCCAUCGAUCCUACAGACUGCUCCCUACGUCUUGCUCAACCUGCAUUUAUGUCAAAAAACUUUUAAAGAGCGGACAGCCCUCCUGUGCGCUGCAGCUCCAAACGUUGGCCAGUUGCUGCAGAAUAACGUGGAAUAUUCUAGCAACACAGAUACAGAUGCUGCAAAGUAAGUCCCAACAGCUUUGGAGAUGUAGCUCAAUCCAGGAACGGGCCAACAUAAUUCAUGACAAAAUCACCCAAAAAAAAAAAGAUCAAAAACAUCAACCGGGAGAUGAAACAAACGUUCCCCCUUUCUCCUCUUCUGUUCUACGUCACCCGAUCAUUACAUGUUCAAACUUUGUAGGACCCGGUCAGACAAAUAUUGACAGACAGCCUCAUCCAGAGGCAUUUUAAUCUGCUGCAAAAUCUGCAAAUAUGGCACAUGGCCAUCCGUGUCUCAUUUUUCAACUAUCAAACAAAAUACACACGCGUCCUGAAGACUAUUACGCAAACCACUCAAGUCUAGCUCACUAUUUUUCAUUUGAAGUGCAUAUUUAGAAAUUAAUUUUUAAAAGCAAUAAAUAAACCCGGCAUGGAUAUCGCUCUAACCAUGUCUUUUUCGAGGGAGAAGAAUCCCAUUUCUUUCAUGGCUGACUGCAUUAAUGAGAUUACAAAUGGCAAGGACUCCCAGCACAUACUGUAUAUUACUAGAACGUUCUCAGCAGUCUCUCAGAAUUUGGGAAUGUUAUCUUAAUAACACGACCGCCAGGCGCUCCCGCACAGGCCUCAAAACAUUGUGCAACCCAUGUUUUGUUUAAGCAACAUCAGGCCACCGACAUCUGAAGAAUUCUAAUUCAAAAGUAGGCUUCAUCUUGAAUAUGUUUUUUGAGUUGGUAUAAGAGGAUGGAGCUUUUUCACUGUGUUGAGUAUUUUUAAGACUCAAAUUUUCAAGAUUUAAUCAGGAUAGUGGAAGGAUUUAAGGCAGAAAUUGAUAUAUGACUCAGGUUUUCGGGGUCUAGCCAACUGAGGGAAAAAGAAUUAACAAUAAAGGUACGUAUUUCAAACUCAAGAUGGCCUCUACAGAUGGGCCAGCAAUUCUGCUUGUGAAUUUAUCCACCAUUUGAGACUCUCUUGAUUGCUCGAAAACUGAAAUUUACAUCAGCUACCCCCAAUAUCCUGCCGUCAAAGUGUUUUUCUUUGCUGCGUUGAACUUGUUUUUAUUCCUCAGUUGAUGUGCGUAUUCUGGAACGAUCAAAGCGCCUUUUUAAAAAUGCAUUGGGUACAUCAGAGGACUUUGUGCGAGCCGACAGUUACAUAAGUAAGGCAACGAGUGCAAACACUAACAAGAAUUUACACGUGCUUGACGUCUAAAUCCACAAAUAAAAAAUGAGAAAAGCGAGCGUAGGCACACGCCUCCUGCGCUCCUUCGUACGACAUUAACGACAACUUCCUGCACAGAAACUCUUCAUAAAUGAAGUUGAAUCUCCUACAACGGCUGCAAGAAAUGCGAUUAGAUCUGCAAAAUGUUUGAUUCAGGGGACUACUUAGUGAUUAAUGUAUAAUUACAUGUAAUUAAGUAUUUGUCAUUAUGCCAUUACAUGACCGACGUAACAAAUUGCGGGAGAAUACAUAAUGGGAACCAAUAAAACCAAAACCUCACAAACUAUUAGAGAGAACGAUAAUAGGUAAUUAAGGUUCAGGAAGCUCCACUCCUGAGCUGCUGAAAUGCAGACAGGCUCAUAACCAUAAAUGCUCAGUCAACAAUCACUACACAAACGGGCACUUUCACAUAAACACUACACUCCCACAUUCUAAAGUCAUGCCGCUUCUAAUAAAUCAGGCUUCUAAUUGCCACGAUGUCGAUUGUGCUGCAGACUUGGGAGGGAUCCGCAGGCCUCUUACGAUAUUAGCCAAAAAAAUAAGACACCUUUAUCAGAAGGUAACAGCACAGCGUUCUUCCAUCGCUCAUCCAGGAUGUAUGUUUUCCUUCAGCCUCUGGGGGCCCGUAACAGAGAGUCGCUCAAGUCUCAUACAUACAGCGGAUUGUCAAAACUAAUCUUCCCUGCCUCUGCGAGACUUCAAAAGAUGUCAGCACUUGGGAGUGAGUCCAAGGGUCCACCACUCAAGAAAGCUAUUUAGGUCCUCGUAACCGAUCACCAUAGUAAUUUUCCACGGUGUGUCACUCACCGUAAAUGCCCUGCUGAGUUCGCCAGCAGCAGCUUCGCCAGCCGAGGCCCCCGCCAGCCUUGGCACAGCAACAGACGCAGAUACAUAGGCUUAGAUUUCCAUGUGCUCUCUCAUACUAGAGCGACUAUAUAGGCCCCAUUUUGUAGGCCAAGUACAAUUACUACUGUAGGAGGUUCACUGGACUCUUCGCAGUAAAACAAGAGUCAUACAUGCAGCUGUGCCAAUAUAAGUGUCAUACUCUCCAAAAAUGGACGGUAAGUAGCCAUACUUACAAGUAAUGCCUGCACAGUUAUAUCUGAAUCGUAUGGAUUAUAUUUAACUACAUUUAAGCAUUUUUUUCCACGGUGUCGUCUAGUCCCGAUGUUUCUGACAAGUGGAGCCGGCAUGUAGCUGAACGUUAGAAGCGAGAAGACAGUAAGUCAGAGAAUGAUCUACAGCCUGCAGUCACAAAUGAACAUUUUUGAGCUGCCUGCAGCAGCUGUUAUGAGGCUUCCACAGUGUUCAUGCACAAAUUUAAAAAUAUAUAUACAUAAUGUAAGACCCAUGUAGGAAUAUCACCGACAGUACAUACAUAUUGAAAGGUUAUGCAAAAGGUGAAAUCGAUACAUGACAGGCAGCCCCAAUCUGAGUCCGCAGAUUCAUCUCUGCUCCACAGCCCAAUCGCUAGGAAUAAAAACAGGCAGUAAUUAUAUUAUUAUGCAUCCCUCGGUGUCAUGGUACCAGCUUGCAAAACUUGUAAAUCAUCUCGGUCGUCCAGGGACAUACACAAAUGAAUAGCCAUGGGUAGCAUUGAGUUCCGGAGGCAAGGGAAUGAUGGUUAAUUCCCUAGGGCACCAUCUCCUGAGGGGCCGCCAACAUAGCAAAUCACCAGCACCACCCCAGCGGGGGGCAUGACCUCUUCUUCAGUAAGCAUGGGCACUAAUGUGUCACAGGGUCUUUUAAAAGACGGCAUUCACCUAUAAGAAUGGAGAGGGGAAACGCCUUCAUCAAAGGACAUGCGAAGUAACAUGUCAUGGGGUCCUUAUUAGGAGAUGUUCCUCUUUACGAAAGGGGAGGGGAAACGUCUUCCUCAAAGGCCAUGAGUAGUGACAUGUAGAGCACCGGCCAGGGACAGGAAUCGGCCGAUGUUCAGCACGUUCGGCCCAGAACGGAGACCAGCCAGUUAGUCAUAUGGUCCAUUUUACACAUCCGCCAUACGUCAUAUGCUCAGCAACACAGGUAAUAGCCUUAGGGCCGCAUGCAUACUCGCAGCCAUCCGCUAACAUGUCCUUAGCCUGGAAGUCCUUCACUGUGAGUGAAGACAACACAAAGCCUGCGAUUUGUAAUACACGUAAAAUCAAAGUAAACUGCGUGGAACCACCAUGUUUUGGGGUGUUUAAAAGGAGAGGUUCCCCUUUAAGAAAGGGGAGGAGACACAUCUUCAUCAAAAGACAAGGGGAGUGACAUGUCAUAGGGCCUUUAAAAGGAGAGGUUCCCCUUUAAGAAGGGAAACAUUUUCAUCAAUGGACAUGGGGAGUGAUGAGUCAUGGGGUGCUUAAAAGGAGAGGUUCCCCUUUAAGAAAGGGGGGGUCUUCAGUGAAGGAAAUUAAGUGAGCGAAGGGGGGCACUGAGGGCUGUGGGUAACGCGCCUGUCUGACUUUGGAAAAUGUGGGGAAAUGCGAUACGUUACGGCCAGGGCGUCCUUUAUCCCAUGUCCUGCCUGCUCCCCCCGUGCCAGAGGAGAUCUGCUACUCUGAACAUCCGGGUCCCGAGAGUCAAAUGCUCCUGCAAUUUCAUAAUUAUCUCCCAAAUGCGGCCUGUCUGCUGCUAGAGGGCAUGGCUGACGCGACAUCGUCCUGACCCCUCAUUAGUGCUUCAUGACGCAGCAGUUCCUGCCCUGCACCUCCAACGGAUGGCCCGUCCGGCAUGUGACAAUGGCCCGGUCCACAAGGCACGUGCAAGAGUGAAGCCGUAAACAGAACCCUGUACUGUACCAUUAAUUAUUAUUAUUAUUAUCUGCCGAGCAAUUAGCCAGCCCAUAAAGACAAAGCAGCAGAGGACAAGUAUUCCCAGGCUCCAUGUGGGACCCCCACUGCGACAGCAGGCAAGCCUACGGCUGCUGAGUCCCAAAUGUAGGAACGCAGACAGCUCUACAAGGACACCGGCGUCUGCCCAUGUGUUCCAGCCCAAAUGGGAACACAGCUAACGAUAAAAGAAGCUCCCCAGAGGACCGUCGAGAAGAGCAGGAGCGCCGUCUCGCAAAGCAUUAAGCAUUAAGGAGCCAUUCUGAGCCAGGAAUGCGCCAGAUAUGAACCUCUGGAGGACACAUGCGGAAACUAAUGAAAAGAACCGUAUUUAGGUGCGCUAGAUCCCGCACCUUAUGAAACAGCUGCUGGGUAUUUGCAAUUCAUGAAGACACAUCUUCUGAGAGAUUACUUUAUAUUAAAACGCUACAAAAACUUUUAACUGUAAUAUGUUCUUUUCCGUUAAAGUGCAACUCAGUGUAUAUAACGUAUAUAAUAUAAAAGGGAUUCUAUUUCCAGUUGUUUUUUUUUUAAACUUGUCUGUACCUCAUUACAAGUUGCAUGGCAACUCCAGAAAAACAACAUUUCACGGCAGCCGUGCCGGAUAUGGUGCAGAAAUGUCUGCAUUUUUACAUAGUGAGAUAACAAUAAAGAAUCUCGAAUAGUGUGCCAAAAAUACAGUGUUACGAAAUGCAGUUCAUAACUCAAAAGUUUACCCCCUUGUGAUAAUCUGAACUGAACACAGGACCGAAGAGCAUCAAAUUACGAUAUUUUCUCCUGUCUUAUGUCUUAAUGUCCAUUUGCACCGCCCCUGUUAGUAUGCCGCCUGCUUCAGCCACUUCCUGUCCGGACAUACAGGAGGCGGAGCUUAACACCUUAAGCUCAUUAAUCUGAGCCUCUCUGUUGUCCUAAUGCCCAGCCACCUCUCCAGCAGCCUCACGAAAGACAACAGCCUUAUGGGACGGCUCACACUGCGUAAAAGCGAAGCCUUCGUUGUCCAUUCUAACGACAUCUGCCUACUUGAUCCAGUGCAGGAACAGACUGCACAAGAGGAAAUCUCAAUAAUGUCUGUCAUUGUACCCUAU